UACGAAGGGGGCGAGCGUUGUUCGGAUUUACUGGGCGUAAAGGGCGCGUAGGCGGCCGAUCAAGUCAGGCGUGAAAGCCCCGGGCUCAACCUGGGAAUGGCGCUUGGGACUGGUUGGCUUGAGUUCGGGAGAGGAGAGUGGAAUUCCUGGUGUAGCGGUGAAAUGCGCAGAUAUCAGGAAGAACACCCGUGGCUAAGGCGGCUCUCUAGUACGGUACUGACGCUGAGACGCGAAAGCGUGGGGAGCGAACAGG
rnacentral:rRNA from 1 species